rnacentral:lncRNA from 1 species
GUAUAGAAUGUCUUAGUUUUUAUUAUGGUAUGAGUUGAAAUAAAGUUUAAGAUGCACCGACCGUCCCUAGAGCAAGUGGCAAGGGACUUCGUUGUUGGUACCCGAGACCCAAGUUCGAAUCCUAGUUGAUUCACUUUUCUAGCUAAGUUUAUUUCUAAAGAAAUAAACGAAGCGGGUAGCGUGCUAUCUAUCUCUCUAAAAAAAAAAAAGAAUAAAAAAAGUUUAAGAUGCUAAAACAGAAGCUGGUGUUGAAAUAUUUUUAUUGUGUUGUUGUAGGAAGUAGUUGGAAGAAUUUGACUGAAAUGAAAAGUAA